GAUGAACGCUGGCGGCGUGCCUAAUACAUGCAAGUCGAGCGAACAGAUGAGGAGCUUGCUCCUCUGACGUUAGCGGCGGACGGGUGAGUAACACGUGGAUAACCUACCUAUAAGACUGGGAUAACUUCGGGAAACCGGAGCUAAUACCGGAUAAUAUAUUGAACCGCAUGGUUCAAUAGUGAAAGACGGUUUUGCUGUCACUUAUAGAUGGAUCCGCGCCGCAUUAGCUAGUUGGUAAGGUAACGGCUUACCAAGGCAACGAUGCGUAGCCGACCUGAGAGGGUGAUCGGCCACACUGGAACUGAGACACGGCCCAGACUCCUACGGGAGGCAGCAGUAGGGAAUCUUCCGCAAUGGGCGAAAGCCUGACGGAGCAACGCCGCGUGAGUGAUGAAGGUCUUCGGAUCGUAAAACUCUGUUAUUAGGGAAGAACAAAUGUGUAAGUAACUGUGCACGUCUUGACGGUACCUAAUCAGAAAGCCACGGCUAACUACGUG
rnacentral:rRNA from 1 species